AUCUCAGGGUAGCUGGCGGGUACCUCAGUGAAUCUCACAGGAGGAGGUGUUAAGUAAACAUGCUUGAAAGAUGGGCCUUGCCAUUCAAAUCCCUUUCCAGAGUCAAACUGAGAUGGAUUUGUAACUUAAGGAUGCUAUCCCAGCAUUUGGGACACUUUCCUGAGCAGACGUGGUCAAUGUUAUCACCCCAUAGUAAAG